ACAGGUGCUGCAUGGCUGUCGUCAGCUCGUGUCGUGAGAUGUUGGGUUAAGUCCCGCAACGAGCGCAACCCUCAUCUUCAGUUAGCCAGCGGUUUGGCCGGGCACUCUGAAGAAACUGCCGGUGACAAGCCGGAGGAAGGCGGGGAUGACGUCAAGUCCUCAUGGCCCCUACGGGCUGGGCUACACACGUGCUACAAUGGCGGUGACAGCGGGAAGCGAAGGCGCGAGCUGGAGCGAACCCCGAAAAGCCGUCUCAGUUCGGAUUGCACUCUGCAACUCGAGUGCAUGAAGUCGGAAUCGCUAGUAAUCGCGGAUCAGCACGCCGCGGUGAAUACGUUCCCGGGCCUUGUACACACCGCCCGUCACACCAUGGGAGGUGGUUUUACCCGAAGCCGGUCAUGCUAACCCGAGAGGGGGGCAGCCGACCACGGUAAGGUCAGCGACUGGGGUG
rnacentral:rRNA from 1 species